AUUGAACGCUGGCGGCAUGCCUAACACAUGCAAGUCGAGCGGAUGAAGGGAGCUUGCUCCUGUAUUCAGCGGCGGACGGGUGAGUAAUGCCUAGGAAUCUGCCUGGUAUUGGGGGAUAACGUCCGGAAACGGGCGCUAAUACCGCAUACGUCCUGAUGUAGAAAGUGGGGGAUCUUCGGACCUCACGCUAUCAGAUGAGCCUAGGUCGGAUUAGCUAGUUGGUGGGGUAAAGGCCUACCAAGGCGACGAUCCGUAACUGGUCUGAGAGGAUGAUCAGUCACACUGGAACUGAGACACGGUCCAGACUCCUACGGGAGGCAGCAGUGGGGAAUAUUGGACAAUGGGCGAAAGCCUGAUCCAGCAAUGCCGCGUGUGUGAAGAAGGUCUUCGGAUUGUAAAGCACUUUAAGUUGGGAGGAAGGGCAGUAAGUUAAUACCUUGCUGUUUUGACGUUACCAACAGAAUAAGCACCGGCUAACUUCGUG
rnacentral:rRNA from 1 species